GAUGAACGCUGGCGGCGUGCCUAACACAUGCAAGUCGAGCGAUCUUCUUCGGAAGAGAGCGGCGGACGGGUGAGUAACGCGUGGGUAACCUGCCCUGUACACACGGAUAACAUACCGAAAGGUAUGCUAAUACGAGAUAAUAUGCUUUUAUCGCAUGGUAGAAGUAUCAAAGCUCCGGCGGUACAGGAUGGACCCGCGUCUGAUUAGCUAGUUGGUAAGGUAACGGCUUACCAAGGCGACGAUCAGUAGCCGACCUGAGAGGGUGAUCGGCCACAUUGGAACUGGGACACGGUCCAAACUCCUACGGGAGGCAGCAGUGGGGAAUAUUGCACAAUGGGCGAAGGCCUGAUGCAGCAACGCCGCGUGAGCGAUGAAGGCCUUCGGGUCGUAAAGCUCUGCCCUCAAGGAAGAUAAUGACGGUACUUGAGGAGGAAGCCCCGGCUAACUACGUGCCAGCCGCCGCAGUAA
rnacentral:rRNA from 1 species